rnacentral:rRNA from 1 species
GUUGAAAAAGGUGGCGAUGAGGUGUGGGUAGCGGAGAAAUUCCAAUCGAACUCGGAGAUAGCUGGUUCUCCCCGAAAUAGCUUUAGGGCUAGCCUUGAGUUAGACAUAUGGAGGUAGAGCACUGAAUGGCCGCGGGGGCGUCAAAGCUUACCAAAGCCUAUCAAACUCCGAAUGCCAUGUUGCCGAUGCUCAGGAGUCAGACUGCACGAGAUAAGUUGGGUAGUCGAGAGGGAAACAGCCCAGACCUACAGCUAAGGUCCCAAAGUACAUGUUAAGUGGAAAAGGAUGUGGGACUUCGAAGACAACUAGGAUGUUGGCUCAGAAGCAGCCAUACAUUCAAAGAGUGCGUAAUAGCUCACUAGUCGAGAGGUCCUGCGCCGAAAAUGUCCGGGGCUAAAACAUGACACCGAAGCUUAGGAACAGAAAUGUUGGUAGGGGAGCAUUGCUAGAGGAACGAAGCAGUACCGUAAGGAGCUGUGGACUUCUAGGAAGAGAGAAUGCCGGAAUGAGUAGCGAGAGUAAGGUGAGAAUCCUUACGGCCGAAUAUCUAAGGUUUCCAGAGUAAAGCUGAUCUGCUCUGGGUAAGUCGGGACCUAAGGCGAGGACGAAAGUCGUAGUCGAUGGAUAACAGGUGGAGAUUCCUGUACUCCGUAUAAACAGAACUGUGGGGACACGGGUGGAAAGCCUGACCCGGGAAUGGAAAGACCGGGACAAGCGAGGUACCUGGUAAGGAGGCAAACCCCCUUAUCAAUGGGAAGACGUGAUGUGGAGCGAACCAAAGGGUAGCGAAGCAGGUGAGCCAGCCGUCGAGAAAAGCCGCUAUUGUUUUGUACGGACCCGUACCGUAAACCGACACAGGUGGAUGAGGAGAGAAUCCUAAGGCCGACGGGAGAAGCAUUGUUAAGGAACUCGGCAAAAUGACCCCGUAACUUCGGGAGAAGGGGUGCCUGAGGAAUCAGGCCGCAGAGAAUAGGUCCAAGCAACUGUUUAGCAAAAACACAGGUCUAUGCGAAACCGAAAGGUGAAGUAUAUGGGCUGACGCCUGCCCGGUGCUGGAAGGUUACGAGGAGUGCUUAGAGGCUUGCCUCGAAGGUGCGAAUUUAAGCCCCAGUAAACGGCGGCCGUAACUAUAACGGUCCUAAGGUAGCGAAAUUCCUUGUCGGGUAAGUUCCGACCCGCACGAAAGGCGUAAUGAUUUGGACGCUGUCUCGACAAUGCACCCGGUGAAAUUGAAAUACCAGUGAAGAUGCUGGUUACCCGCGCCAGGACGGAAAGACCCCAUGGAGCUUUACUCCAGUUUGAUACUGGGAUUCGGUACUGCAUGUACAGGAUAGGUGGGAGACGAAGAAGGAUGGACGCCAGUCUGUCCGGAGU